rnacentral:rRNA from 1 species
UACGUAGGGUGCAAGCGUUAAUCGGAAUUACUGGGCGUAAAGCGUGCGCAGGCGGUUGUGCAAGACAGAUGUGAAAGCCCCGGGCUCAACCUGGGAAUUGCAUUUGAAACUACGAGGCUAGAGUGUGUCAGAGGGGGGUAGAAUUCCACGUGUAGCAGUGAAAUGCGUAGAGAUGUGGAGGAAUACCGAUGGCGAAGGCAGCCCCCUGGGAUAACACUGACGCUCAUGCACGAAAGCGUGGGGAGCAAACAGG